UAAAUUUCGGCAGUCUGCGUUUUAUUAAAAAAUCAAUCUCUUACUUUGGAUCAUCCUAAAGAACGUUAACCCACCCACAUAUUUGAAAUGCAACCAUUAAGUUAGUAAUAUAAAGUUAUUUAAAAAAAAGAAGGGGUGUUGAAUGAGUGUUAUGAAUGAUACGAAUAUUAGUAUUUUGAAAAAAUGGAUAAUAAGAAACAUAAAGAUAUUUUGCUGAAGAUUGCAGAUAAUCUGUUGGGUAAAGAUGUUGAAGCAAUUAAAUUUUAUUAUUCACAUCAAAUUGGCCAUGGUCAGCUUGAAAGAAUUAAAACUCCUAUUGAAUUAAUUCAAACUUUAGAACAUCGUAUGCUUCUAGGGAUUGAUAACUAUGAUGAUUUUGUUGAGGUACUUAAUAAAAUUGGAAGGAAUGACUUGGCAAAUCAUUUUUCUAAAACUUUGAAUUCAUCACAAAGUUUUACCAGAACUUCUUCUAAGAAAGAAACUUUGAGUUCACCAGAAAGUUCUUCCAGAACUUCUUCUAAGAAAGAUAUAUCAGAGAUAUGCACAGCACUCAAAAGUUUAUAUCUUUCAAGUUAUGUGAAAAUAAAUGAAGUUCAAGUACCACUAAAAUCACCUGCAAAUGUCAAUUUAAUGCAUAAAUUCGUUGAUCUAUGUAUUGUUGAUGCAGUCAAUGCUCAAACAGAUGCUGUAUUAAGUGAACGAAAAGAAUUUCUUCAAAAGCAAUUGCGUUAUACACCAAUUCCAUAUAGUGAAAUAUUUACGAAAGAUAAAUCUGUAACAAUAAUAUCUGGAAUAGCUGGUAUUGGGAAAACAUGGUUGCUUAGAAAAUGUUUGCUUGAUUGGUCAAAUGGUCUAAUUUGGAAAAAUGUUAAACUUGUGUUUUAUUUGGAAUGCAGAAGGCUUAAUCAAUAUCAAAAUAUUUCUAAUAUUCAUGAAUUACUAAAUGUUUUUUACAAAAUUAUUAUAAAUGAUUUUGAUAUUAGUACUCAUUCUACGCUGUUUAUAAUUGAUGGAUUAGAUGAGUUUAAAUAUCUAAAUGAGUUAAUAAAUUGCAGUUCGAGUUGUAACUAUCCAAUUGUUAAUGUUUUAACAGAAAUUCGAAAAUAUAAGUAUGUAGUUGCUGGUAGAGUUUAUGCAAUUGAUCAGUAUCAAAGUAUAUCUACAGAGGAUUGUGAUAAGAUAAACAUUCAAAUUAUGGGAUUUAAUGAAGGCGGAAUAAAUAACUAUAUAGAAAAUAAUGUUUUAGAGGAAAAAAAAGAUGUUGUGAAAGCAACUUUGAAGGAAUCUGCAAUUGCAAAAUCAAUGUCAUCUGUUCCAUUUUUUUUAUCUUUCAUGUGUAGGAUUAUUAGUAAUUCAAAAAGUUUAUACAAAAAUUCUUUUUUAACAAUGACAGACUUGUAUGCAAAUAUUUUUUUACAUUUUUUGCAAAAACACAUUAUCAAAAACAAUGAAUCGAUUUUUCAAUUUAUGAAAAACAAUUCCAAUAAAGAAUAUAUUUUAAAUAUUUGUAAAAUUGCGUAUCAAUUGUUUGUUGAAAAUAAAGUCAUUUUUUCCAAAGAAGACAUUCAAACUUUUAUCAUUGACUUUGAUAAAAAUGAAGAAACUUUUUUUGGAUUUAUUGAAAGGAUUGAAACAAGUCUAGGUGAAUAUAUUUAUCAAUUUGCACAUUUGACAAUAAUGGAGUUUUGUGCAUCUAUAUAUGCAUAUAAUUGUUUAAGUAGUGAAGAGAUUAUGACUAAUGAAAAGCUGAAGAGUUGUUUAUCAAUGAUUUGUGGUUUGACCAAUAAAAAUCUAAAUAGUUCCUUAAAGUUUCUUGUUAACCUGAAUCCUUUAAAACAAACUUGUGAAGAUUCUUUAUUUUUGUUUUCUAUUUUUGAGGCUGCUAAUGGCUAGAGAGUUUAAUGACAAGGCUGCAUUUAGUAACCAUGGUAAUGCUCAUGUUUUUCUUUGAGCAUUUGAAAUAGCUGUACAAUAUUACUUGUGAGAAAAUUUCAAGCAUAAAUUUUUAAUCAGAGAUGGUGUUGAAAUCUUCAAGUUGCAUGGCUCAAGUGUUAUUGUGGAUGGAUAUUUUGCAAGUACUCAUUUGCAAUGUUUUACUCAAGUGAAGGUGCAAAAUGUUCCAGAAUCAG
rnacentral:misc_RNA from 1 species